rnacentral:lncRNA from 1 species
GGGAGCUUGAUAAUGAAAUAAAUACGAGUGCAAGUAAUAAAAUAUAUGUAGUAAAAAAUAAAAAAUCCAUUACAAUAGAAACCAAGGUUCAUUGUACACCUGAGGCCAAGAGUUAGCUACCAAAAUAUGAAUAUACAAAAGUGAUCGUCAUUUUAAUAAUUACAAACAGGUGUCAUCAAAGUACGGAUAAAAUAAAGCACUCAUAAUCAUCCCAAUGAUCCAAGAAGGGAUCCAAAUCAGCUUCAAGGAGUAACUCAAUGAGCGAAUCAUCAUUUCCAUCAUCUCUUGGGGCAUGGAUUGGGGUGAGUUCCAUAAAUUCAGUAAGAAAAAUAGUAUUUAAAACUACACAUAUAUAAAAGUGAUUAACUUUUAGAAUAAAAACACCAUUUCUUACCUUGGAAGUCUCCACAGGAAAAGCUCAAUUCAAAUAUUUAGAAAAGAUCAUCAUUUAUCUUAGAAAAACAUCAUCAACAUAUCAAGUAUCAAAGGCAAAGAAAAUAUAGAGUCAAUCAUAAAUCAGGCAAUUCAAUAGAAACUAGUUGAACUAACCAAGAACAUAAUAAGAUCAUGAUGGGUGUCGAGUCCACCAAAAAUAAAAUCCUAAUUAACUAAUAAAAUUAAAUUGUAGUAGUGGUAAGAAUGAUCGAAUCCAUAGAAAAUUGAAAACUAAUUUUCUUUCUUGACCAAUGAAUGAAAAGUAAACAAGGGGGGUUUGUAAAACUCAAUAUAUAAAAUAUAAAAUAAGUAAUAAGUAGAAUAAUAUUAAACAAACACUUUCCUACAAGUUAAAACUAAAACAAUUAUAAGAAGAAUUCCAAGUUGAUGAAACAAGUAGCUUCAGUAACGUAAUUGAUCAUAGAUAGAAUGAUUUAUUUUGUUUAAACUGUAGCAAACCAGUUAUAAUUGUCGAAAAUGUUCAAAUAACCAAUUCUUCCUUAUUUCUAAACUAACCAACAAAUAUUUAUUAGUUGGUUCUUCACUACCAAAUAGUCCUGGAAAUGUUCAUAGGAUUUAACUUACCAAGGGCCUUAAGAACUAGAAGAACCUAAUUUAAGUUGUCAGAUACAUCCAUGUGAACCAGUCAACUGGAUUACUUACCUCCGCAGUGUAAUACUAAUCACUAGGUACCAGAACCACUCAAACAAUUACGGAUUUAAGGGUUUCGGCUAGUUGUUUGCUGCCUCUCCAACAUUUAAUUGGCCAUAUUCAAACGAGUUCAAGACCACAAAUAUGUAUGGGUGCAGAAAAUAAAUAAAUACCAAGAUUUAAAUAAAACAUAGAUUAAACCAAUUCGACCUCACAAAUACAUCACAGGAUUUUACUAAAUCUUAACUAGGAAAAGAAAAAUAAAUCAGCAACUCAUGAUGGACUUUUUAACUCAAAUGAGUUCUUGGGGAGUAGAAGAAAGAAGAAAGAUGAAGAAAAAAAAUUGUUGAAGUAGCAGAAGUUACUACGUGCUACGUCAGGAAGAAGAGAGAUUAUUCUUCAGCUUUGACAACCGUUCUUUUUAUAAAAAAUGAGCUAAGGUUUUCUUUUUUUUUUAUUAGGAUCAUUUUCUUUGAUUUUUGGGUUAUCCCAAGCCUUCUAUAAUAUUUUUCCCUUGAUUUUCAGCCCCAUAUCUUGGCUUGAAUAAUAUCUUUUUCAGAUUUGAAAAUCACAUGUUUUAAUUUAAAUCUGCUGCUAUGUACAACUCUUAGCCUUGCCCAAGGCUAAAUUGUCUGGGGAAGGACCAAGCUUUUCCCAAUGCUUGUUUCUGGGUUGAUGACUCUUUUCACGAACUCUUCUUCUUUUCAUGUUAUUUUUUAUAGUUUUAUCCUUAUAUCUUGUCUUGUAACAAAACAUAAAAAAUAGCUCAAUUUGAUAGCAUACCAUCAAGUUUAACAAUUCAAAAGUGGGUAAUAAUGAUGUUGUUUUUAAGCACUAUCAAACUCUCUCGCACUUAUCUUGUGUUUGCCCUCAAGCACUACACAAUACACUCCAUCAAUCCCCAUCUCUUCACCUUCAACUCACAUACUCCUAAUCAUUUCAUUACAACUCGCAUGUUACAUCUCAACCCUCAAUUUGCAAGAAUAACCAUUAACUAGUAAUUUAUAGGCUUGAAUUUCAUGGAACGACACCAAUGAAUAACCACUUUGAUAACAUGCAAACAUGACAUGAGAGAGUUUUGCAAAUUUAUCACACAAAACUUUUCAUUGAGGGGAAUGAUCAAUACCUAGUAGAAUAGCCACCAAACUUGUCCAUAUAUAAAGGAUUAAUGCAAUUGGUUCAUGCCAAACACAGAAAAGCUUUAGCACCUUUGCUUGCUUGAAAUGCCACUAACUUUUUGACGCAAGGGAAAACAUUGUGAUGAAUGCACCUAGUUACUCAAUUGGUCACAGUUUCAAGUGGCUACUAGCAUUACUCGUAGUCAUUUGGUUAGAGGAGUAGAUUAUUAUUUGUGCUCUUUCUUUCCCAUUGUGAGUGCAUUUUACGCUCCAUCUCACUCAUCACAUGAUAGCCAAUUUGAUUUAUUCAUUCAAAACACACAAUUCUGGAAGAGUUGUACAAGAUUUCUUUUUGAGUAUUGAUAUUCACCAAAAAUAAAAUAAAAUAAUUAAUUAAUUAAUUAAAAUUUUCUUAAUAGACAAGCCUCAAACAAGUCAUGUUCAACAUAUAAUCAAAGAUAACCAUUCAUAGUGUGAAAAGAUAAAAAACAAGAUAUAGUUUCUAGGAGAUGGUUAUAAGUGCAAUUUGAUUUUUAAAAUAUCUCAUUUAAGUUGUUUAAAAAAAUAAUAGAGAUAGUUGUGAAGAUUGGAGCAAAAACUAGUUGUAGGUAUAUGUGUGGUGUGGCAAAAAUUAGGUAAGGUCUAAAUACCUAGAAUGAGAUGUUAAAAAGAAAAACUAGCUACCUAAGAGGUAGAAUGCAUAAUGCCUCUCUCCCACACUUAAACUAUACAUUAUCCCCAAUAUAAUACAAAUAAUGAAAAAUAAAAAUGAAGUGAUAGAUUAAUUCCCCUAGUUACUUGACUUGGAGGUGGGGUUUAUUGGGAAACAUUCCAUUUUGAGAACCACCAAAUGCGUUGUCAGGUGAUAUAAGCCUUGGACAAAGCUUAUGUGGGGAAUGAGGCAUAUUUUGCUUGGGAUUCUAUUGAUUUCCUUAUUGUAGACACGACACGGCCGUGUUGGGCAUGCACACAGUCGUGUUUCCCUCAUAGAAAUGCUUUGGUGGUAAUACACAGCUGUGUUUUAAGGGUCUGGCACAAACCUUGCGCAAGGCUUAUAUGUAGAUUGACAUACAGCCGUGUUUGGCAAGCACACGACUGUGUUUCCCUCAUAGAAAUGCUUUUAUGGUAACAUACAACCGUGUCGUAUGGAUGAGGCAUGUCACACAGUCGUGUCUCGUAAGCACACAACCGUGUCUUAUGGGUUUGACACAAGCCUUGGGCAAGGCUUGUUCGACUAUUCUAGAGUUUGGCUUUUUUUCAACUCCAGCACCUGAAUUCCCUGUCCCUACACUCUAAUCACCAUAGAAAUCAUGUUAACUCAUAGAAAAAUAUUAUAAAUAAAUUGAAAUAACUAAUACAAAUAAUGAAAAUUGAAAAAAAAAAGAAGAAAAAUGGAUGGGUUGCCUCCCAUCAAGCUCCUUGUUUAAUGUCUUAGGCUAGACAUUGUCAAUUUUUAAGCACUUAAAUUAGUUUGUCUUCUUAUAAACUGCAUAACUCGUUAGAACGUAUCACCAGAAGAGUCUCCUAUCCUCGCAAGACACAUAUUUCAAAUGUUUAGGUAGUGGUUUGGGCUUCAGUUUUGGUGCAUGCAAAAUACAAGGUAGCAUUUUGUGUCAGAAAUAGGAAGGUCAACACACAAUGUAUUACUCCUUUGAGGUUUAAAUGUCUCCAAUUCGAACACCUUUAAAAUUUUUAAGCUGUCCACAUCAAAAUCAUUAGAAAGCACAAUGUUCAACUUAUCAUCAUGGCUUGAAUAAAAAUAUUUUUUACUUAGAGGACCUACAGUAUCCACUUCAUAUACACAAGACACAUCACUAGGAUACUUCGUAUCAUCAUAAACAUUAAAUUUUACUAUUUCUCCAUAAAAAAUGGGUGAUAAUAAUGGUGUUUUUAAGCAUUAUCAAAUUAAGAUAGAUUAGAAGAACCAUCAUACAAAAUCACCAAAGAGUACCAACAAUUAUUCAGUCAAUGUUUGUGUUUUAUUUAAGUCUAUUACCAACCUCCACAAAAAACUAUUCCAACAUAUAUCCACUACGGGCAAAAGGGAUCCCCAACUACCAUUGUAAAUGACCAAUCAGUUCUAUUUCCAUAUUAGUUCAAUUCCAUAUCCAUGUUGGGUAUAUUCUAUGACCACGGCCAUACGUCCCUACUGUUGCCCUACAUAUCAUAUCGCGUGCCUACUCUCGUCAAAGGGAAUGUCGAUCAUUCAUAGGGAGCAAUUUACCAAUAUUUCAUAUUCAUAGUAGAGAGACAGAAACCCCUUAGAGAUACAAUUAAAAGGAUUUUCAUUCUUUUCUCUUUCAUAUUCAAUGUGCAAUCAUAACAGUCACAUGCUUAGAACUCGAUGGGGAUCUAAAUACAUAUCCAACUCAAGGCCCAUUUACUGGUCUUAACCUUUGGGUCAUCCUCUUAAACCUAGGCCCACUAGAAUAACCCUCUUCGCCAUUACCCAGGUAAGGGAAAGGGCCAACAUGCAUGCAUUUUCAAUCACCAUGUUUUUGUGCGUCAUGCUUAAUAUUUCCAUAAUUUACAUUCAAAAAAAAUAAAUAGGUAAUCACUAUAAAGAUUUAAGCAUUUAAAAUCAUCCUGCUCAACAAUUCCAUAAUCCAUAUUGAAAUAAGCAAUAGUCAAUCAUCAUCGAAAAUUCAUGCAUCAAAAAUCAUUCAAAAUUUUAAUUUAUCUUUCUAGAAAAUACACUUAGAAAUGUAAGAGAAAAUACCAAAAAAUUCCUUACCGUAACUGUAGUUUGAUUCAUCUUUAGUAAGGGGAAGGAAGGACUUUUAGUACUCUUUAGACAACUCCUUAAACUUUUACUUUCUUAUCUUCUUUCUUGCCUUUUUCUCUCACAAAAUUUCUCUCUCUCUCUCCCUCUAAAGUUUCUAUAAUGAAGAAAGGAAAAUGGUGAGAAAAAUGUGAAGAGAGGUCAGUCAUUAAAUAGCCAUGAGGGGCCAUGGAUGGGUGACUGUGGCACUCAUCCUAAUGGGCACAUGGCGAUAGGUGUCGCAAAAGCUAUCGCAGCAUGGGGCAACAUGCUGCAGGUAUGACAUGGUUGCAGAUUAUCACGUUUGCGGGCUAGGCGCGCCCGCAUGCAGUUGAUAGCUCGCUUGGCUUGUUGCGUCGUGCUCUCAAGCAUGCCAUGCUACGUCGUUGUGCGCGUGAACACAGCAAGCUAACACGCGGGUUGUGCAACGUGACCGUGCAAAGUACCCGCGGUCAAUCCAUGGAUUUUAGGGGAUUUUCUCCCUCUUUUUGAGUUUUUGUCCUUUUUCUCAUUUUUCUCCUAUUUUCUGAAAUACACUCAAAAUAAACUAAAAAUAAUUUAAUUAAAAUUUUAAAAUAAUUAAUAAGGAUAAAAAUAAAAUAAAAAUAAAUUUUAAAGCAAACUAUUGAUAGAAUUUAAAUGGCCAUAAGCCCAAAAUAAUGGAGUUCGACACCACGUAUAUGCGCAAAAAGGUUCGGAGUAUUACAAUUUCCCCACCUUAUAAAAAUUUGAUCCUCCAAAUUUUAAAAAGUUUUUAAAAGAACUCGAGAUACUUGUCCCACAUUUCUUCUUCCACUUACCACAUUGCCUCUUCUGGAGUGUGAUGUUGCCAUAACACCAUGACCAUAAGAAUCCUCUUGUUGCAUAUAACCUUCUUCGUUCGAUCAAUGAUCUCCGUAGGGUACUCUACCUAAGUCAUUCCCGAGUAGAUAGGAGUCUUCAAACGCGGGAUGAUGUGAGAAAGAUUAUGGUUAUACUUUUUGAGCAUGGAGAGAUAGAAAACAUCAUAUAGGCUGGGAAAUUCCAGGGUCAAAGCAAGGUGGUACACCAUGGAGCCUACACAUUCCAUGAUCUCAAACGGUCCAAUAUAGCAAGGACUCCGCUUUCAUCUCUUUCCAAACCGCAUUCUUCUCUUGUAUAGAAAGACCUUAAAGAAAACAUGGUCACAAACUAUUAACUUUAAAUGUCUCCUUCACUUGUCAGCAUAACUCUUCUAACGACUAUAAGAAGUAACGAGAUGGUUCCGAAUGGCAUCAACCUUUUCAAUGGUUUCCUAGACAUAAUCUUAUAGGGAGACGCAUGUUCCCAACUUUGUUCCAAUAGGUUGGAUAUCGGCAAGGCCUACCAUAGAGAGCUUCCAAUGGAGCCAUACCGAUUCUGGAGUGGUAGCUGUUAUUAUAAGUAAAUUCGUAGAGGAAAAGUUGCUGAUCCUAAUUGUAACACCCUAUUCACCAUUGUGUUUAAUUAUAUUUGGAAAAACCUUAUUUAUUCGAGUCUUAAGGCCACACAGAACUCAUUUAUUUUAUUUCACAGCUUAUUAUCGUAAUUCCUAAAUUAUGUUGAUUUCUACCUUAUUUUGAUUUUAUUUAAUUUUAUCUAAUUUUAUUUUGAUUUAAUUAUAUAAUCGUUAUUUUUAGAAAAAUAAAUAAUUUUCAGGAAAAAAUAGAAAAACCAUGGGGAAAUCCCGCAAGGAAAUCCCAUGGGAAAGGGUUGCCCGUGCACUGUGCACACGCAACAGGCACAGGACUUGCACACAGUGCGCACGUGCCAUCCAUACAUGGCACGAAGGUCAGACAUGCGUGUGCGUCUUGUCGCGCACAAGCAAGCCCAUCCGUGCACAUCACAUCGCGCGCAAACAUGGUAAGCGCUACAAACUAUGUGUGGAUAGGCUUGCAUGCCUGAGGACUGCAUACAAUAAGCCUGCGCGCGGCUCCCCACCAAGCCUAUGCCUUACGCGCGCGCAGGCCAACUCCUGCCCACGGCAAGGUAGCCCGACGUCUGCAAGUUAAGCCUGCAGUGAGCAUCUGGUGGUUGAGGCUCACUGUUGCGUCGGGCAGUGUGCCACCGCCCACCUUGGGUGGCAUACUGUCGCUUGAGGUGCCGCUACCAGUGGAGGAGGUUUUUUCUCUAUUUUUUCGUAUUGUAUCAAAUUAAGCAUCUUCUAUUUUUCAAAACACUCUUUCGUCAUCGAAUUUUACCACUUGGCACAAAUCUAACAACCCACAUUUUCUAUAAAUAGGAGCCCUUCCUCCCAUUUUCUCCUUACUUCCAUUCUUCUACCUUUCAAGAGUUUUAGAGAGAGAAAGAGAGAGAUCUAGAGAGAAAAAGAAUAGGAGAAUAAGAACGGUGUAGGAGAAAUUAUCAAAGUUUCAGUAUGGAAUUUAGUAUUUCUUUAAACAUCUUAAGGAGUAUUUUUAGACAAAAUUAAACUAAUGAUUAUGUAAUUUUACCUAUUUGCAUAUUUUGUGUCUAGUAGAUCUAAUAAAAUCUAUCGUUACUAUUUUUUUCCUAACAGUUGAAUACACAGGAAUAUGGGUGUUGAUCCUGCUGUGUAUUCCAUAUCUGUUGUUUGCAACUUUUUGAAAGUCUUUCCUGUCGAACUUCCUAAUCUACGUCCCCCACGAAAGGUGGAAUUUCUAAUUGAACUACUAUCUGAUACCCAACUCAUCUCGAAAUCUGCCUAUCACAUGAGUCGUGCUGAGCUCGUAGAGCUAGAAAGUCAACUUUCUGAGUUGCUUGUCUAGAAGUUCAUCUGUCCUAGUCAUUCUUCUUAGGCGCUCUAGUAUUCUUCAUGAAAAAGGAGGAUGGCUCCCUCAGACUCUGCGUGGACUAUUAGAACUUAACCGAGUAAUGGUUAAAAGCAAG